UUAUCCACUAAAUCAGAUUCAUCUCUAUUACACUCCAACCUUCAAAGUUCAAUCCUUGGGUAGAUAAACGAAAAUGCUAGCACCAGCCAUGAACAGAGCUGUUCUCAGAAAUGUCUCACUACAUAUUCCCAACCAUCUUCUCGAUCCUCUAAAAUCCAUAACAAAUCCUAUCUCAUCAUCAUCUAUAUUUGUUUCUUGGACUCUUUCUACGCUCAGAUUCUACUCGUCUGAUUCUGAUUUAUCUCAUAAAGAAAAUUUCACUCUGACCCAGAAGCAACAUGGUGGAGUUGAGGACGUUGAUGGCGUGAGUAACCAAGAGCUAAAGAGGCGGAUAGAGAAGUACUGCGAGGGGGAUGAAGAGGCGAUUCCUUCAAUAGUUGAAGCCAUAUUGAAGAGGAAAUUGGGAGGGAUUAAAGAUGAGGACUACGAAUUGUGGAAGAAGUUAGGUGGAAAUCUCCAAGUGAGAAUUUUGAUUCUGAUUCCGAUGAAUUGAAUGAUUCUGAUGGCGAUAAAAAUUGAUGCAAAAUUGCAAUUAUAGAAAUCAAGGCAAUUUCCUAGGCAAGGUCUCCAUGCAAAUAAGUAAAGUACAACUCUUGAAUUAUGGAAAUGUUCCAUAAACCUUAAGGUAGAAACCUCAAAUUAAGACAAUUAUAAAAUUGAAGACGCCUUGGGAAAGCUCCAUUUACAAUCUCGGUCCUUUCUACUAGAUCAUCUGAAGCAAAUUUUCUAGCUCGAGAAAUCCACUUGCUUCGCAAAACUCUUUAUGAAUGAGCUUUGCCUUGGAGGCUUUUCAAAGUUCAACAUGUUUUAAUUUGUGAAAGAAUUGAAGAAAAGAUUGGUUCUCCAAGAAAUCAGAAAAACAUAGUACUAGAGUAGUUAGGUUUUUCAUGGAGGGAAGCCAGUUUAGGCAAUUCUGCUAGACCACCAUGUAAAAUAAGCUGUUGAAGAUGAAGUGGAAGAGAAAAAGGUUCAAAUUUAGGCAGAAGUGCGCCUUUGCUGACUUGUUCUGCAGAUAAGCAAGGGACGAUUAGCCGCGGGUACACAAUCAUCUGGCCCUGGUAUUGAAGAAAGGACUGUUAGCUUCUUCUUGUAAAUAUCUCCUUCUGUGCCUUUUUCCCUUAACCAGCUUGCUCAAUCCCGUCCCUCCCUUUCUGCUUGUCUUAAGCGCUGGUGAAAAGAAAGAGUAAGGGUUGGUAAAGAAGCACGAGUCGAAGGGUGAAUCCCUUAAACUUAAUAGAAUAUCCCUGUUCGAGUUCGUAUUCAAGCUAAGUAGAUUAGCCGAUGGAGAAAAGAGCGAGGAUUGCUUGAGUUGUUAGCUAUAUGAGUAAGAAGUUGAUGAGUUUCUUCCUCUGUCAAUUCACAAGGGAUGUUCCGUAGGUGAAUUCCUUUACUCUAAGUGGAGCAGGAUAGUAAGAAGGCACAUGCUUUACGACUUAAAUUAUCGUUUAAGUUUUAAAAAAAUAAUAAAAAAAUAAAUUAUAGAAUGGGAAAUGCAAUUAGAAAGCAGACAAAUAUAAAUACAACAUUUUAGACUUUUGAUGGAGGCAUGUAACAGGGUAAUAUAAUGCUGAAAAAGACCAAAGUUUUAUGGCAAAUGUUCAAUUUAGCCUUAUAUUCAUCGGGAAAGUUUAAUUUAUUUUUUUUUUAAUUUUUUUGUUCAAAUUAGCUCAAAGUUUUAAUUUAAUGUCAAUUUAAUCUAAAAAUUAAAAUUUAUAGAUUAAAUUUCUUUAUUUUUUGAUUUAAAUAAAAACUCAAGAAAUUUAAAUUUUUAAUUUUGAGAGUAAAUUUUUUUUGAUUUCUUAAUUUAAAUCUAAAAAUUAAGAAGUUUAAUUUCUUAAUUUUCUUUAUUUUUGAACUAAAUUGAGAUUAAAUUGAGUAUAAAAAUAUGUUUGUUUUACAUAUAUCAUUUUUUAUUUAAAUAUAUUAAUUAAAAAGUUAAAAUUAAAUAAAAAUUAAAAUUAACAGAUUUUAUUUAUAAAAUAUUAAAUAAUGAAAUUAUUUGUGCUGAGUUGCAUGUGUUCCAUGGUGGAAGAAGCGUUCUCAUGGUAACAUGGAAGAUCCAUUUAGCAAGCCUAAACCUGGAAGUGGUGGACAAUGGAGAAACAUUUUAAUUGGCAUUUCAAUAGAUAUGAAUGAGAAAUCAUUCUAUAUUGAGGAUGCAAUAGGGAGAAUUAAUGAUAAUAGUGACGCUGACAUAAAAUUUGCUCACGCCAUUGGAUUGAAGUUCUUUGUCCCUGAUGAUUACUUCGAUGCAUAAAAGAUUUUGGCAAGCAUCUCCUGGUGGCUGGUGCAAGAGUUACUAGCAUAGAGGUUCUGAUCAGAAUUUUACUCAUAUAUGAUCGAUUUGAUGUAUCCAAUUAUCAUUCUUUUGAUUUGUCACUUGAAGGACCUAAAUCUGAGUAAAAAAAAAUGAAGUCAUUAGAGGUUUUGCUGAUUGUCUAAUUGGACCUCUUAUAUGGCUAGUGAAAGAAAUUAUGAUAAUUCAUUGAUGUAAAUAGAAAGAAUGCAACUGAAACAUAUACACAGAUUGUUACAGGUAAAUUUUAAUUGUGAUAAGUGUGUGUAUUGGAUAUGAAGGUACCUUUGAUAAUUUUUUUUUUAUUCCUUCUUUUACUGCAUUUAUGUGAUGAGAUAAAUUGGCAAUGAAGAUCCAUAGCUGCAUGUAAGAUUUUGAUCUAAACUGUAACUUGGGGUCUACUUAAAUGCUAUCCACAUUUUUGACUUCUCAAAUGUUGCAUUAAACAUUUUUUUUCCCAUGCAUAUGUCUGAAUUACUCCUUCACUAUAUGCUAUGAUCAUGUAGAAAUGAAUUUUUUCUCUUCUCCAUUAUAUCAUUUGAGAUCAAAACAUGAUCUCAAAGCCCAGAGGUGCAAGUGGACGUUAGAAUAGGAUGGUAUAUAUAUAUAUAUAUAUAUAUAUAUAUAUAUAUAUAUAUAUAUAUAUAUAAGCUAUUGCCGAGUUAAAUGUGAUUGCUUGUGUGAUGGGAUUGAGUUUGAGCACAAGUUGUUUGAUGAAAUGCAAAAACAAAACUUUGUUUUAUGGAGUGGAAUUGGUGGGUCUAUACAGUUGAGGUUAACAGAACAUAAUCUCUGUUAACUUUGGGUCUAAAUGUUUGAUUUAAAAAUUUUGAAAGUUUAAUUUAACAAAACUUUUUUUAAGGACUUAAUCAUUUUAAUUAUACUUCAGUGGCUUCUUUGUACCUUUGGCUUUCUUUGUAUACAUUUUUAUAUACAUUUGAACAAUAUUUCUUGAAGUGUCGUUAAUUAAAUAUGCAAAUAUAGUCAUUCAAGUGGAAAAAUAAUAUCAUUAAG